AUUUUUCCAACUUACCCAUUACCUAAUCAAUACUUCACUCACAGACCCUCUUCUCUUCCCUCUCUCGUGUAUCGUCCUCUAAUUAAAAACCCUAACCACCAACCUCAGAAGCUUUCACCGCAACGCCACCGAUCCCCAAUCCUAACUAGUCAAAGAAAAAAAAAAUGAGUAGACGCGGGAGCAGAACUGUUUACGUUGGGAAUCUUCCUGGUGAUAUCCGUGAAAGAGAAGUUGAAGAUUUGUUUCUGAAGUAUGGACACAUAACUCACAUUGAUCUAAAGGUUCCGCCAAGGCCCCCUGGCUAUGCAUUUGUAGAGUUCGAAGAUACUCAAGAUGCUGAGGAUGCAAUUCGUGGGCGUGAUGGAUAUGAUUUUGAUGGGCACCGGUUAAGGGUGGAGCCUGCACAUGGUGGACGUGGUAAUUCAUCCUCAAGAGAUCGUCAUAGUAGUCACAGCAAUGGCCGGGGUGGACGUGGGGUUUCUAGGCGCUCUGAAUUUCGUGUUCUUAUCACUGGAUUGCCUUCUUCUGCAUCCUGGCAGGAUCUUAAAGAUCACAUGCGGAAGGCAGGGGAUGUUUGCUUUUCCCAAGUUUUUCAUGAUGGAAGGGGAACUACUGGUAUUGUGGAUUAUACCAGUUACGAGGAUAUGAAAUAUGCUAUCAAGAAGCUUGAUGACUCUGAGUUCCGGAAUGCAUUUUCUAAGGGCUUUGUUCGGGUGAGGGAAUAUGAUUCGAGGCGGGACUCCUCUAGAAGUCCUAGUCGUGGCCGAUCUCAUUCUAGAGGAAGAAGCUAUAGCCGCAGUCGUAGCCCUAGCCAUAGUUACAGUCGGGGCCAGAGCCCAAGCAAAUCUCCAAAGGGAAAAUCUUCACAGCGUUUACCAGCUAAAUCUCCACCAAGGCCAGCUUCUCGUUCUCGCUCAAGGUCUAGAUCCCGUUCUUUAUCAGGCAUACUGGAAUUUGGAAAUUAGGAACUUGGUGGGAUUUGGUUCAAUUGCCUGCAACUCAAUUUGUUGUGGAGAUUGGGAACCAACAAGAUCAUGGAUUGCCAUUUUAGAGCUGGAUGUCUUGGGUAUAAAUGCAAUUGGGAUUUGGAAAUCACCACCAUUGAGCAAUAGGGACAAUUUCAUUACACUUGUGGGCUUCAAGAUUUGCCAAGCCAAUAGGGUGCACUAUCUGGAUUCUCUGGAUUUUGUGGUGCAGUAGGGAAGAUUUCUUUUCUCCAGUCCACUGGUGUCUUAAUACAUUACCCUGUGAUGGUUUUUUUUUAUUCGUUUUUCAUCAUAUUAUUAUGCAUAGAAUGUCAAUAACUUUUCCUUUUUUAGUCUUCUCUCUGUUCGGCUGUUUUAUACAUUAUGAUGCUUGUUUUUACCUCUCUUGGAUAUGUUAACUGUGACAUGGGAGAGGCAUCAAGGCUGUUGGAUCCAAUUUGAUAAGGGAACUUGUGGAUUUUAAAUUCUGUUGUUUGUGGAACUUUUGCAGAUCACGAUCAAGGUCCAGGUCUCCAUUACCUUUGCGUAAUACAAGCCCAAAAAGGCGCAGUGCUAGCAGGAGCAGGAGCAAGAGUUUGUCUCGGUGAGCUCUGAUUGUUUUCAAUCAUUACAAUUGAUGAAAUUGUGGAUGACGGUGAGUGCUACAAAGUUACUCUUGUAAGUUGACUUUGGCCGAGAACAAAAAAAAAUUAUUUGGGUUGAACUUGUUUGAACUCAGUUGAAUUGAACUUAAAACUUAUACCUAUUGUCGUCUUUAUCUUAUAUGGGGGAUUUGAUGGGCCCUAGCUAUCUGUAAUAGACUGUUGAAUGUCAAACUUACCUAUUUGGUUACUUGGGUUGAUUUGGUAUCGGCCUAUAUUACAUUAUUAUAAUUCCUUGUCUAUUUAUGACAUAAUACCCUUGUUG